CUCCCUUUCAACUUGAACUCUGUGCAAUGACUGCAGGACUGUAUUUGAUGCAGAACUUUCAAGAUGAAACUCUCUAGCUGUAGGCAAUGACUGCUUGAAAUCUGGAACACAUGGAC